GACGAACGCUGGCGGCGUGCUUAACACAUGCAAGUCGAACGGAAAUGCCCUGCUUUUGUGGGGUGCUCGAGUGUCGAACGGGUGUGUAGCACGUGAGUAACCUGCCCUUGACUUUGGGAUAACUUCAGGAAACUGUGGCUAAUACCGGAUAGGAGCUCCUGCUGCAUGGUGGGGUUGGAAGGUUUCGGCGGUUGGGGAUGGUCUUGCGGCUUUUCAGCUUGUUGGUGGGGUAGUGGCUUACCCAGGCUUUGACGGGUAGCCUGCCUGAGAGGGUGACCGGCCACAUUGGGACUGAGAUACGGCCCAGACUCGUACGGGAGGCAGCAGUGGGGAAGAUUGCACAAUAGGCGGAAGCCUGAUGUAGCAACGCCGCGUGGGGGAUGACGGCAUUCGGGUUGUAAACCGCUUUCGCCUGUGACGAAGCGAGAGUGACGGUAAUGGGUAAAGAAGCACCGGCUAAAUACGUG
rnacentral:rRNA from 1 species